CAUCGUGAACGUAUUAAUCGACCAAAUAUGCUAAUUCGAAUAUAACUCGAACCUGAAACUAUCUGAUCGUAAAUUCGUAACCAACCCGACACAGUCGUUUAGAGAGCUUUGUUUCUGUGCUCGUCUGCUCGGCGUUUCCGGCGUCGAUUCUUUACAUUCUACUCUGUCUAAUAACCUAACCUUUCUUCUUUCUCUCUCAUACCUUUCUUCCCAAUUCCCACUUCUUCAAACCCGAAAAACCCUAACCCCCAAUUUCGACACCAUUUCUGCAAUUAAGGAACAUCAAUGUCAGGUAGAAAUUCAGGUCCGCCAAUGCCGAUGAAGAACAUGCCGCAUCAGCAUGGCAGGAUUCCACUUCCGCCUCAUGAACCGCCGCCAUAUGGCCGAAACAUGGGUCUAAUGCCGCACCCGGCACUUCUGGAGGAGAUGAGAGAGAGAGAAUCGCAGUUUGGGAUGGGCCCACCUAGGUCACUUCCCCCUCACCCUGCAAUUCUUGAGGAUCGUCUUGGAGUUCAACUUCAAGAAAUCCAAGGCUUAUUAGUUGAUAAUCAGAGGGUUGCUGCAACUCAUGUUGCAUUGAAGCAGGAAUUAGAGGCUGCUCAUUUUGAGUUGAAACGUAUGACACAUUAUGCAGAUUCGUUUCAUGCCGAGAAAGAUAUGCAGAUGAAAGAAAUGUUUGAUCGGUCUGGGAAAUUGGAGAUGGAUCUUCAAGCAGCAGAUGCAAUGAAGGGCGAACUCACGCGGGUUCAAUCUGAUAUUAAGGAGCUUACUGUUGUUAGGCAAGAGCUUAUGGCUCAGGUUCAAGGGAUGAAUCAAGAUUUGGGUAGAGCUUCGGCUGAUAUACAGCAAGUGCCGGCAUUAAAGGCGGAAAUCGAGCACAUGAGACAGGAGGUUGACAGAGCAAAGGCUGCUAUCGAGUACGAGAAGAAAGUUUAUGCCGAUAGCUAUGAACAAGGUCAAGCUAUGCAGAGCAAUCUGCUCUCGAUGGCUAGAGAGCUAGAGAAGCUUCGAGCUGAGGUUGCUAAUGCAGAGAAGAGAGCUCGUGCUGCAGCUGCAGUCGGCAAUCCUGCAGCAGCAGGUUAUAAUGGCAAUUAUAGCGCUCCUGAAGCUGGAUAUGCAGGAAAUCCCUACCCUGCUGCUGGCUAUGGAGUGAACCCAACGCAAACUGGUAUGGAGAAUUAUCCUCAAUAUGGACCUGGGCCUGGCAACUGGGGCGCAUAUAACAUGCAGCGUAGUCAAGGGCAUAGAUGAAGUCGGCUUGCAAGUAUGUGAUGAUGCAGUGUCCUGUUUCAUUUUGCAUGCUGGUCCUUCAGGUGGAGCGUGAUAGAUGCUUAGAUAUGGACCUUUUGCAAUGUUGAAGGCUCAAUCAUCCACUGAGUUUGAAAUAUGUUGAGCCGAAUUGCCAAUUUGGUAAUAAAAAAAGCGUCCAACUACUUUUAAAAGUUGCACUCUGAACUGACGAAUAGCACCACCGCACCACCGCUCACUGGUCCACCACAACACUCCGAAUUUCAAACUUCAAAUUUAGAGAGAAGAAAAUUGAAGUCGAGGUUUGUGGUUGUUUAGAUUUGGGAAUUUUGUUGUGGUGUUGAGUUUUUGAAGGUAGAUGUUAAAUUUUGGUUCUUUUGUUGUUGAAAUGUGGAGGUUACUUAUAUGAGUUUUGGUGAAAAGUCAUGAUUUUUUUUGGCAUGAAUUAGAUCUUCUUUACAAAGAUUAUCAAAGUGAUCAACGUUCAACAUCUUUACGAAGAUUAUCAAAGUGAUCAAAGUUCAACAUCACUACCUACUCUGCUAUUGGUGUUAGCUCAAAUUUUGAUAAUGUGUCCUUCAAGUGUCAGCAGCAUGGAGAAAUUCACUGACCUCCAACUGUGUGUUCUCAUUUGUUCUGAAUAAACAGGGAAUGACAGGACCAUUCUGCUGGGUGUGUUUAUUCGCCCUUUUCAGCUGCUCGAUCCAGUAUGCACCGGGUUCUUGGAGGCUUGAGCCACAGAGCCAGUAGUGGUUGGUGGUACUCAUGGUUAUCUUUGUAAAGUGUUUUUAGGUCAAUAAUAGAACUUUGUUGAUAUAGAAGUCAAUAUAAUGAAUUACCUUGUCACUUGUCGAUUGCUCGUGCAGUCAAAAAUUUGCUCACUUUUCUUUUCACUAAUGAAAAGUUGUUUAAAGACGA